AUUGAACGCUGGCGGCGUGCCUAACACAUGCAAGUCGAGCGGUAACAGGUGUAGCAAUACAUGCUGACGAGCGGCGAACGGGUGAGUAAUGCUUCGGAAUCUAUCUUAUGGUGGGGAAUAACUAGCCGAAAGGUUAGCUAAUACCGCAUACGUCCUACGGGAGAAAGCAGGGGAUCGCAAGACCUUGCGCCAAAAGAUGAGCCGAAGUCGGAUUAGCUAGUUGGUAGGGUAACGGCCUACCAAGGCGACGAUCCGUAGCUGGUCUGAGAGGACGACCAGCCACACUGGGACUGAGACACGGCCCAGACUCCUACGGGAGGCAGCAGUGGGGAAUAUUGGACAAUGGGGGAAACCCUGAUCCAGCGACGCCGCGUGUGUGAAGAAGGCCUGCGGGUUGUAAAGCACUUUUAGUGGGGAUGAAAUGUGCAGGGUUAAUACCUCUGCAUUUUGACCUAACCCACAGAAAAGGCACCGGCUAACUCUGUGCCAGCCGCCGCAGUAA
rnacentral:rRNA from 1 species